UUGGGGGAAAAAGUAUUUUCCAAUGUCCAAUAUCAUGCACCGUGUGCUAUUUUUUCUCUACUUCCGGUAAGAAGUAAACAUCGUAUUUCGCUGUCAAAUUGUUUGGAACACACUCUGUUCGAAGAAUACUGGUUAUUGUCAAGUGAAUCGUGUAUGUGCUGCGGAGAGUUGUGUUAAUUGCGACAUGAAAGACGAACGUAAAAUAGCAACAUUGGGUGAAAAAAUGUGUAGAUAGUUAAUUUCUGCAGCCAGAAAUAAAGAACAAAUGUAUGUUAGACCUGAGAAAAUUGUGUGCUAUGAGUGUAGAAAAAUUACUGCCACCCGAAUCUACUUGGAGAUGCAAACGGUACCUCUAUAACGUAGCGAAACGGACACAUUGAUCUGACUUCUUUUCAUUUCAAAUGCCUGUUCUGAGGUACAGAUGUCAAACAAAAUGACAAAAAGGCAUAUGAUGAUUUCCAAAUUUCAGUCAACAAUAAAGAAAAAUUGGAAGCGAAGUCUUCUGUUGACUCUAAUCCGUACAUGAUCUAACAGCAGUUGGUGCAAGAUAUCAUCAAAAAUGUAGCACACAUUUCAGAACAGGAUGUCAAGUUCCAACUCAGCAUCAAACACCUCAAAAUACUGUAAAACGUAGUAAAGGUAGACCAACAAAAUAAUCAUCUGAAGAAGCAUUUUUGAAAACCAUGCAUUAUUUUGAAAACACUGAAAGUGAGCAAAUAGCUUAAAUUAUUAAAUGAUCCCAGGCAGAGUCUUUAUAAAUAAACACUCUUAACAUGAUGACAUUGAAACAGCUGGUAGUAUAUCAUUCAUAAUUAUGUUUGUACAAAGGUAAAACAAAUGAAACAUUAAACACAUUGAGGUACAGAAAAUUCAUUACAAAGGCAACAAGCACAUCGGUAGUAAAGAUACAGAGCCUAACUCCUACAGAGGCAACUGCAAAGUUUCAUAGUUUUAGAGUGCACUGCCAUUAAAAUAGAGACAUGAAAUGGAAAGGAAACGAACCCUCUUGACUUGGGAUGGUACAAACGUGGUGAUAAACUUGUUCCUUGACACAGAGGUUGCUCUACUGGGAUGACUGUAGAUGUCAUGACAUUAACACUUAACUGACUUUCAUAAUCUUAAGAGAGCAAUGAAAAGUUUUUCGAACAUACUAAUUUUAUAAUAGAGCAUAUUUUUACAGUAUAUCGCAUCGCAGAGUUUUGUUCUCACAUUUUUGUACAUUACGGCUUUGUGUACAUUUGCUGUUAGCUGAAAAUUGUAGUUUAGUAUCAAUUUUAAAACAGUUUUAACAUUUUACUGUAGUGACGCCCUGUUCUAUAUAUACUAUAGUACAGUCACUGUUGAUCUGGGAUUCUUUUCCUGAAUGUUUCUUAAUAAUUUUUUAUUAUUAUACUGUUGUUAAUAUAACAUUUAUUACAUUUAGUGCGAGUUUCAAGGAAAUAGUUUAAAGAUAUUGCAUGCACGUUUUAUUGAUGGGUGGACCCGCCCGCUUAGCUCAUUGGGAAGUGCACCGAUCUACAGAUCGCGGGGUCGUGAGUUGGAUCCUCGGGCGGGCCGUAUGUUCUCCAUGACGACUUGAUAAAAGACAUUGUGUCUGAAAUCGUUCAUCCUCCACCUCUGAUUCAUGUGGGGAAGUUGGUGGUUACUUGCGGAUAACAGGUUUGUACAGGUACAGAAUCCAGGAACACUGGUUAGGUUAACUGCCUGCCGAUACAUAACUGAAAUACUGUUUAAAAACGGCGUUAAAUCCAACACAAAUAAAAUUGAUGGGUGGGGUAAAUCUAUAGUGUAAAUUAAUGCAUUUAUUAGUAAAUGUCACAACAAAGCUUAGUAUCAGCUUUAAUUUAUGUGAUAUUUCAUAUAAUCAAUGCCUCUGAUCGAAGAAAUAAACCAACGUAUAGAUUUAAACUAAUGUAUGUUACCUAAUGCAUGAACCUCUUGAUUCGCCUGAAUCACUGAAUUGCAAAGAGGGUGCCCUUCAUAAUCUCAUUUUUUAAGAUUUUCCAAUGGGAAUUUUUUUGAGGACUUUUUUCUAAAAUGCUCUAAUGUUUAAAGAUUAUAAAACAAUAAAAACAUUUCAUGUUGGAAUUUGUUUAACCUUUUGACAUAAUAUGUGGUAAUAUGA